rnacentral:rRNA from 1 species
GCGUAAGCGCACGCAGGCGGUCUGUCAAGUCGGAUGUGAAAUCCCCGGGCUCAACCUGGGAACUGCAUUCGAAACUGGCAGGCUAGAGUCUUGUAGAGGGGGGUAGAAUUCCAGGUGUAGCGGUGAAAUGCGUAGAGAUCUGGAGGAAUACCGGUGGCGAAGGCGGCCCCCUGGACAAAGACUGACGCUCAGGUGCGAAAGCGUGGGGAGCAAACAGGAUUAGAUACCCUGGUAGUCCACGCCGUAAACGAUGUCGACUUGGAGGUUGUGCCCUUGAGGCGUGGCUUCCGGAGCUAACGCGUUAAGUCGACCGCCUGGGGAGUACGGCCGCAAGGUUAAAACUCAAAUGAAUUGACGGGGGCCCGCACAAGCGGUGGAGCAUGUGGUUUAAUUCGAUGCAACGCGAAGAACCUUACCUACUCUUGACAUCCAGAGAACUUAGCAGAGAUGCUUUGGUGCCUUCGGGAACUCUGAGACAGGUGCUGCAUGGCUGUCGUCAGCUCGUGUUGUGAAAUGUUGGGUUAAGUCCCGCAACGAGCGCAACCCUUAUCCUUUGUUGCCAGC